AGAAUCAACGCUGGCGGCGUGCCUAACACAUGCAAGUCGCACGAGAAAGGGACUUCGGUCCUGAGUAAAGUGGCGCACGGGUGAGUAACACGUGAAUCAUCUACCUCCGAGUGGGGAAUAACCUAGAGAAAUCUGGGCUAAUACCGCAUAACACUUACGAGUCAAAGCAGCAAUGCGCUUGGAGAGGAGUUCGCGGCAGAUUAGUUAGUUGGCGGGGUAAUGGCCUACCAAGACGAUGAUCUGUAUCCGGCCUGAGAGGGCGCACGGACACACUGGAACUGAAACACGGUCCAGACUCCUACGGAGGCAGCAGUGGGGAAUUUUGCGCAAUGGGGGAAACCCUGACGCAGCAACGCCGCGUGGAGGAUGAAAUAUCUUGGUAUGUAAACUCCUUUCGAUGGGGAAGAUAAUGACGGUACCCAUAGAAGAAGCCCGGCUAACUCGUGCCAGCAGCCGC
rnacentral:rRNA from 1 species